UACGUAGGGUGCGAGCGUUGUCCGGAAUUAUUGGGCGUAAAGGGCUCGUAGGCGGUCUGUUGCGUCGGGAGUGAAAACUCAGGGCUUAACCCUGAGCCUGCUUCCGAUACGGGCAGACUAGAGGUAUGCAGGGGAGAACGGAAUUCCUGGUGUAGCGGUGAAAUGCGCAGAUAUCAGGAGGAACACCGGUGGCUAAGGCGGUUCUCUGGGCAUUACCUGACGCUGAGGAGCGAAAGUGUGGGGAGCGAACAGG
rnacentral:rRNA from 1 species